GCGGCUGCACAACACGGCAGAGGUCGCCGUCCGAAUCGUCGAUACGUUUCCAUUUUCGGGGCGUUGGCCGACGGGCGUCGGCGCUCUUCGCUCUCGUAAUAUUUUGCUCACGGUCGGUCGCUUUCCGCUUCGCUCCUGCUGUUUUUUCAACUCUGCCAUUCGGUUCGGACCGGGGUAGUUGUAUUACGACUACCUUGGUCCGGAAUAUGGAUUGCCGAUCAUUUCUGUUCGUGCGCCGAGACGAACGCCGUUGAAAGUCAACAUCGAUGUUUCUAUGCAUCAAUCAAUACGGGCGGAUGACAUUUCAAGAUGGCAGCCAUAUUAGCAGUAACACACUCAAAUCUCAAAACUUAUUAUCAAAAAUAAUUCCUUGUUUUCACCUUCUACUGUGGUCAUGGUAAUAUUAUCUUAAACAAAUCCAUUUUCGUGUGCAGACUUCAGAAAUAUAAUUAUCCCGAUCCUGUAACAUCUGUACUCCGAGUUCAACCGUUUUUAUAUACGUAUUCCAUGCAGCCUAUAUGUCCAAUUGCCAUAGCCUUGGCACGUGUGAUUCCAUCCGACGAAACAACUAUUUGUGGGAUAGAAGUAUGUGUGCCAAGGCUAGGGCAUUUAGACUGCUUGGGAUACGUGUGUAAAAACGUCUGUCCUUGUCGUUAAUAUUACAUCAGAGGUGCCACUAGUAAGGAUAAUUAGAUUAUCUGAAAUAUGUACAUGGAGGCAGGAACCGUAUUGAGAUUAAAUUACCUGACCUUACCAACCAAUAAAUAAUUAUGUUGUUUUUUCUUGCUUUACAAACAUAAAUUGCCAUAGUUCAAAGAUAUCACAGAUUAUAUAAAUAUAAUAACAUUUUAACAAAGUCUAUAAUUAAAUGAAUUUUGUGUUCUUAA